rnacentral:rRNA from 1 species
CACGAACGCUGGCGGCAGGCUUAACACAUGCAAGUCGAGCGCCCCGCAAGGGGAGCGGCAGACGGGUGAGUAACGCGUGGGAAUCUACCCAUCUCUACGGAAUAACGCAUGGAAACGUGUGCUAAUACCGUAUACGUCCUUCGGGAGAAAGAUUUAUCGGAGAUGGAUGAGCCCGCGUUGGAUUAGCUAGUUGGUGGGGUAAAGGUCUACCAAGGCGACGAUCCAUAGCUGGUCUGAGAGGAUGAUCAGCCACACUGGGACUGAGACACGGCCCAGACUCCCACGGGAGGCAGCAGUGGGGAAUAUUGGACAAUGGGCGCAAGCCUGAUCCAGCCAUGCCGCGUGAGUGAUGAAGGCCCUAGGGUUGUAAAGCUCUUUCACCGGUGAAGAUAAUGACGGUAACCGGAGAAGAAGCCCCGGCUAACUUCGUGCCAGCCGCCGCCGUAACAC